rnacentral:rRNA from 1 species
AUGGUGCAGUAUAAUUUCAAGAAAAUCACUGUUGUCCCUCCCGGGAAGGACUUCAUUGACAUAAUCUUGUCCCGCACUCAGAGGCAAACGCCAACUGUCGUCCACAAGGGCUAUGCUAUCAACCGCAUCCGCCAGUUCUAUAUGCGCAAGGUUCGCUAUACUCAGCAGAACUUCUAUGAGAAGCUCUCCACCAUCAUCGAUGAGUUCCCCCGACUGGAUGACAUCCACCCUUUCUACGGCGAUCUCCUUCAUGUGCUCUACAACAAGGAUCACUAUAAACUUGCCUUGGGCCAGAUCAAUACGGCCAGAAAUAUCAUUGCAAAGAUCUCCAAGGACUAUUUGAGGCUGCUCAAGUAUGGAGACACGCUGUACCGGUGCAAGUGCCUGAAGGUUGCUGCACUAGGUCGCAUGUGUACUGUUCUAAAGCGCAUCAGUCCUAGUUUGGCAUACCUGGAGCAGAUCAGGCAGCACAUGGCCAGGCUUCAAUCAAUUGACCCAAACACCCGUACGAUCUUGAUUUGUGGCUAUCCAAAUGUUGGGAAGAGCUCUUUUAUGAACAAGGUUACAAGGGCUGAUGUGGACGUACAGCCUUAUGCCUUCACAACAAAAUCCCUUUCUGUUGCUCAUGCAGAUUACAAGCAUCUGCGAUACCAAGUGAUUGACACUCCAGGGAUCCUUGAUCGGCCUUUUGAGGACAGGAACAUCAUAGAAAUGUGCAGUAUCACCGCUCUUGCCCACUUGAGGGCUGCUGUGCUGUUCUUCUUGGACAUCUCUGGUUCUUGUGGGUACACUAUUGCUCAGCAAGCUGCACUCUUCCACAGUAUAAAAUCCUUGUUCAUGAAUAAGCCUCUGGUCAUUGUGUGCAACAAGACUGAUUUGCAGCCGCUUGACGGUCUUUCUGAAGAGGACAUGAAGCUGGUAAUGGAGAUGAAGUCAGAGGCUAUGAAGACUAUACCUCAAGGUGGAGAUCCUAGUGAAGAGGGUGUUUUGUUGACUAUGAGUGCUUUAACAGAUGAGGGUGUGAUGGCUGUUAAAAAUGCUGCAUGUGAGAGGCUUCUUGAGCAGAGGGUGGAGAUCAAGAUGAAAUCAAAGAAGAUCAAUGACUGCUUAAAUAGGUUUCAUGUUGCUAUGCCCAAGCCUCGUGACAGAAGAGACAGGCCUACUUGCAUUCCUCAGGCUGUUCUUGAAGCUCAAGCAAUUGCUGCUGCAAAGGAAAAGAAGAAACUCGAGAGGGACCUCGAGAAUGAGAAUGGAGGCGCUGGUGUCUAUUCUGCCAGUCUCAAGAAGCAUUACUUAUUAGCCAAUGAUGAGUGGAAGGAAGAUAUUCUCCCUGAGAUAUUGGAUGGGCAUAAUGUUGCUGAUUUCCUAGAUCCGGAUAUCUUGGAAAGGUGUGAAGAACUGGAAAGGGAGGAGGGUCUUCGUCUUGAAGAAGAAGCUGCUCAGGAUGCUUUCAUGAUUGAUGGCCAUGAUGAAUUAACUGAAGAACAGCGUGAGAUAUUGGGCAAGAUUAGGAAGAAGAAGGCAAUGCUCAUCCAAGAGCAUAGGAUGAAGAAGAGUACUGCUGAGAGCCGGCCUAUUGUUCCAAGGAAGCAUGACAAAGAUAGUAAAUUCACAACCAAGAGAUUGGGCAGACAACUCACAUCCAUGGGUGUUGAUCCUACUGUGGCUGUGAACCGACUUCGCAGCCAGUCAAGAGGCCGUAAGCGUGAGAGGUCACUGAGCAGAGCUGAUGGUGACGCUAUGGACGUUGAUGGCCAGCAUUCCGACAAGAAACUGCGUACAAGGUCGAGGUCUAGGUCCAAGUCACGACCAAUUGAAGAGGUUGUGCCAGGUGAAGGGCUCAGGGACACUGCUCAAAAGAAGAAGGCCAUCAAGAAAUCAAGGGACUCUGUGAAGAACAGGAAUAAGGAGGCUCGACGUGGAGAGGCGGACCGUGUCAUCCCCACCUUGAAACCAAAGCAUCUCUUCUCUGGGAAACGAGGCAUUGGAAAGACCAGCAGGCGAUAA